UACGGAGGAUCCAAGCGUUAUCCGGAAUCAUUGGGUUUAAAGGGUCCGUAGGCGGUUUAAUAAGUCAGUGGUGAAAGCCCAUCGCUCAACGGUGGAACGGCCAUUGAUACUGUUAAACUUGAAUUAUUAGGAAGUAACUAGAAUAUGUAGUGUAGCGGUGAAAUGCUUAGAGAUUACAUGGAAUACCAAUUGCGAAGGCAGGUUGCUACUAAUGGAUUGACGCUGAUGGACGAAAGCGUGGGUAGCGAACAGG
rnacentral:rRNA from 1 species